GCUCGGGCGGCGCGAGCGCGGAGCGGCUCGUGUCCAGCGCGCUGGGCGGCGCGGCGUACAAGCUGCGACGCCUGCAGCCCGCCGCGCUGGCGCCGCCCUCCUUCCAGCUCGACGCGCCCGAGGAUGAAAUCCAACUAGUUGUAUCGGGAACAGCCAUUCCUCUUGUCGAUCCGUCUAAAGUCGAACACACGAACAGCUCAGAUAAAUAUAAAGCAGUAGAAGGGGAUGACGACAUAUUCGCACUAGACGAGGAACAAUUAGUGAAGACACAGCCUGAAGCCUCUGAAGAUAGAAGUGGUGGAUCGUUCAGUCGUGCCGGACCUUCAUCGGGUGGAGCGAGUGGCUCGGCCGGGGCACCCCAAGUGUCGCUGUCCACGCUGGGGGGCGUGCACGGGGCGCGGGUGUCGCGGCGCGUGUGCGCGCUCCGACUGCUGUUUGUGCGCGAAACCACCGCCGUGCGAGAGCUGGGCGGACUGAGUGGCUUUCUGCACACCUUCACCUGCGAGGUGCUGGCCAUAGCGCGUGCUUAUGCGGCGGCGCUGGGCGGCAACGCGCUCACGUCGCUGUACCUGGCGCACCUGCUGCUGCACCACAACGCGCACAAGAACCAGGGUCAAUGUCUCCUAUCGGUUGGCGGUGACGUGGUGCACAUAACAUAUUAAAUAAGCCUUUUACAUAUGACAAGCGGACCCAAAAGACUUUGUCUUGCCUGAAAAGCCCUUAGAAGAAUUUUAGAAGCUGAUUACAGCGCCAUGUUCUCUAUCGAAAAGUGAAACUUAAUGCAAUAAGAAACUAAAACCUAACCUUGAGUUAAGUAAGAUAGAUAAACCAAAUUUUAAAAUCGACGCAACCAUCAAAGAGGUGACCUAGGUAUAGAAUAAUUUUAGGCAAAAUGAAAGUGAUACCACAUUUGACGAUAAAUGUUCACUUUUAAACAAUUGAAACUGUAAACUACUGCCCUUAUAGUUUUAUAUUACAAAAAAAAGUUUUUUCCUUUCUGAUUAGAUAAGUACUUAAUACAAAAAAAAGUUUACAUAAUAGUUGUAAUUUCAGUGAAACAUCUAAAAAGAUUGACUAUAAAUUUUUCAUUUCCUAAUUAGUUUAAGUUCUGUUAAUAACUAUUUGAGAAUCGAUUCGGUAAUAAAGUGAUAAUAAAAAAAAAGAAUACAUUUAAAAUGACAAAGGAUUAUUGUAAGUUUAAAUUAAUACGUACUUGAAUUAUAUUAAAUUAAUCUGUUUAAAUCUUGCCAUGUUCGUUUGUAAUAAGUUCAUUGUAAGAAAAAAAUUGACAAGGUACAAUAGAAUAACACUAUAUUUUGUUUUCUUUUAUGUAUUUUCAAAUAAUAUUGAAUCAUUGAUUUUAUAGUUUGAUAAUAAUUGACAAAUGUGAGCAUUAUGACAAUAUACAUGAUAUUAAUGUAUUAUUAUUAUUAUUUUUUAAGGCCGUACAUGCUGUAAUGUAUUUUAUACUCUUUCUUUAUACUAAUCGCCCUUUUACUAAUACAGUAAUAUCCUGAACUUACGGUUAGGUAUGAAUGAAUUACUGCGUAAGACUACGUAAGUCGCGAUGCAGUGUUACGCUUAUUUGUGACCGAGUUACCGCUGACGUAAGCCGCGCUGCAGACUUAUAUACAAACUUUCCCUCACAUUUGUGAACAACGAUUUUAUUCUUCCUGAAUACCCUUACUACAUUAUAAAGCAAUUUAGAAUAAGCACUCGUUGUAUAUGU
rnacentral:misc_RNA from 1 species